CAUGCUGUCUUUGCAGACAUUUGGAUUCACUCUGCUGUUUCUAGUCAUUCUAACAGGUGUCAGCUGUGAAGAACUCACUGCAGUCAAGAAUGAAGAGUCCAGUUUAGAAGGAAGCUCUGUUACUCUGUCCUACACUUACUCUAAAACACCAGCUGUUACUGAUUAUUUCUUCUGGUAUCGACAAUAUCCAGGAAAACCACCAGAAUUCCUGAUCUCUCACACAGGAACAGGAUCAAAAAUAUCUCCUUCAGUUCCUGGACUGUCUUUUAAAGUGAGUGCAGAUAAGAAACAACUGGAUCUGGAGAUCUCCUCUGCUGAAGUGUCUGACUCUGCUGUGUACUACUGUGCUGUGAAGCCCACAGUGACAGGAAACAGCAAAACUCUGUACAAAAACCUUUGGAGCAAAGACAACGCAAUACUCCACAACGUCCACUAGAG